AAAGGGGGCUUUUGCCCCUUAGGGAAGAUGGGCGCGACUUGCCUUUAUAAGGCGGCGCCCCGCAUUCCCGGGGCGUCUCUUUUCUCUUAUUAAGAGUGGAGGCGCACCUAUAGCGCACACGCUGAUACCCGAAAGAUGGUGAACUAUGCCUGGCCAGGACGAAGCCAGGGGAAACCCUGGUGGAGGUCCGCAGCGAUUCUGACGUGCAAAUCGAUCGUCGGAGCUGGGUAUAGGGGCGAAAGGCCAAUCGAACCAUCUAGUAGCUGGUUCCCUCUGAAGUUUCCCUCAGGAUAGCUUGCGCUCGGAGAGAAGAGUCUCAUCCGGUAGAGCGAAUGAUUAGAGGCCUUGGGGUCGAAACGACCUCAACCUAUUCUCAAACUCCAAAUAGAUGAGAUGCCCGGCUUGCUUGAAAGUGAAGCCGGGACUCGGAUCGGAGUGCCAAGUGGGCCAAUUUU
rnacentral:rRNA from 1 species